GACAGUCGCACACAGCUGGCGGUGAACAGCUUCUCUGUGGACGGUCCUCAUUAGGUCGUGUAGCACAGUGAUUUGCUUUGACUCUCAAGUCACAAAGGUAGAAAUGAAAAUUAUACACAGAUUUUUUUUUUUCACACAUUUCUGGCUUGUUCUCAGGCUCACUGCUUAUUUCUUAUUAGAGAGUAUGUUAACCCUUCAACACAGAGCGUAUCGCGGACGACACGUUUGCAUAAGCACAAUUUGCAUUACACGAUGAUUUGUGCCACUGGAAAAAUUCCUGCAGUUAUUACGGUAAUUUCACUCGCUCUGUUGCAGGAAGCCGGCGAAUCAGCGUCUUUGUCACCAGAGAGGAGGGAGUUGGAAAAAUGCCUUCCUCUGACGUCACGUCGAUGUCCUCGGAGCUGGGCUGCUUGGUGGCGAUGCGCCAUCUGUUGAUGUGGUGGUUUCCCUUCUUCUUCUGCUGGCUGUCGGGUCCCUCCUCCUCCAGCUUCUGACGCUUGUACUUGGUCCGCCUGUUCUGGAACCACACCUUCACCUGGACACAAGAGAGAAGAGAGUGAAAUUAGACUGAGACAAACUCAGACUGUUGGCCAGCUGCUUCCUCUCCGCUCCCACCACGUAGUGGUUCUUCUCGAAGGCUCGCUCCAGUCUGAGCAGCUGC